AAAAAUUAGACAAAUAUUACAAUACCUUCAUAUAUAGUAGUGCUAGAAAGUUAGGAAAGUAGAACUAGUAUGUAUGUUAACCCCUAAACAGUCAGCUAUGUUAAAGCUUGACUGUGGUUUUGUAAAGCUCUUUCAUUGAUGAUUAAUGGAAAUCCUUAAUUAUAAAAAAAAAAUAACUAGUAAAAAAAAUGUGAAUUGAACCUUAAGAACGUUUCUCCCUAAAAUGAAACAAGUUGCUGUAUAUUGGACCAGCGUGUGGAGAUAUCGAACGGAACCUCGCCUUCUUCGACCCGUACUCACGCACAAACAUGAACUUGAAUGCCCUCCACCCAUUUGAAUUCCAUCAUUUGAAACUCAAUUUAAAAUCAAAAGAAAGAAGCAGUAGUAUAUAUUUUCGUAUUUUUUCGUUGUGAAUAGGAACCGAAUUCGGAAAAGCACUCGAAAUACAAUCCAGUUUCAUCACCUUCGUUCGUUCCUUUCUAGGAGUUAGGGAAUUGAAGAUUGAAAAUUUUUGGUCUAUCUUCCUUUCAAGAAUGGCUGCCGUUUGUGCUUUAGAGUUGUAGAUCUAGGUUUUUUU
rnacentral:lncRNA from 1 species